AUUUAAGUGAUGGGAGCUCCG
rnacentral:miRNA from 1 species